GAUCCUGGCUCAGGAUGAACGCUGGCGGCGUGCCUAAUACAUGCAAGUCGAACGCGCAGCGAGAGGUGCUUGCACCUUUCAAGCGAGUGGCGAACGGGUGAGUAACACGUGGAUAACCUGCCUCAAGGCUGGGGAUAACAUUUGGAACAGAUGCUAAUACCGAUAAACUAGUAUGCAUGNUAUCAGUUAAAAGGUAACGGC
rnacentral:rRNA from 1 species